UUAGAAAAUCCAAAUAUCCCAAGAGGAACAGAAGACUCAAACGGUUCAACCAGCGCCAAUGCCAACCAUUUUCGGAUUCUUCUGGCCUUCAUCUUGACAGUCACGCUGGAGAUGACGUGAGAACCGUCUUUUCGGAGACUUCCGCUUUCCUCCCAAUGGCUUCCUCCAAGCCCGGCUUCCACUUCUCCGUCAAACUUUUCUUUUCGUCUUUUCUUCUUCUACUUCUUUCUUUCAUUAUUUUUUUUUUCCAUUCUUUCUUUUUUCUAAAACAAUCAAACAAAAACACUGACGCUUCUCGCUCUCGGUCUCUUUCUGUCCGUGUUUCGGCUUUGUUCUCCGAUUUAAUUAAAAACAAACCAACAACCAA